rnacentral:rRNA from 1 species
AAGUCUAAGGUGGAAAGCACGGUACUAACUAAAUGUUGAUUGAUUACUAAACUACACUACAAGGUAUAAGUAAAAUGUGAAUGAUUUUCAGAUUAAGAUGGGGAAACCUGGAACCUCAACCUUGUCCCGUAGUUGUAACAGUUAACCUCCCAGAACCUCGACGAAGCCGGAGGUGUCAUCUCGUUUGUUCUUCCAUUAGACGACAAGGAUCGAAGAUAAGUAUACACAAAACGACUUAAUUUUUUCAUCAUAUUGCAUAGGGGUAUAACCGCGAAAAGGUUUUACGACUUAAUUACAUAGACAUAGACGGGCUAUGACUAUGUGCAUAGGUAUAGCCACGUAAAAUCGGAAUUCGACCCACAUCCAAAUCUACAAAAAAGAAAAGAAAACUCCUUUGUACUACAGACCCACGUUCACCAAGUUCGAACCUCCACAACUUCUAACGAAAAACACGGACGUGAGAUGGGACCCAUUACACGUACUGUAAGAGCAUAGACGUGAACAAGGUGAUAGUGUGAGGGGGGAUUACCAAGAAGACUGAAUUUGUAUUCAAAACAAGGAAGGUAACCUUUCACUGGAGAACCUUGUUAAGAACUUGUCUCUUUUCGCUUGAUCGGUUGCAACUUUAGUUGUAGUGGAUGAAUUUUAACGAUUAAUAAUGACCCAGGGAAAAACUGUUCUGACGGAUAAAAUCCUAUUACCGAGUAGCACCUGUGGAUCUACCUAAUUACGCGGUACCACGUAAGAGACCUCGGCCGGAGAGACCGGCGGUCGGAAACCUCGGAAGAGGACGGUGGUAUGACCUCUAGGACCUUUUGUUCGAACGGCACGUCUGGCGUCUCCGUCUUUUCGAAUAGGCUCUUUUAGUCGCUAACCGUCUAUCGGUACGUCGGAACUCUUUCCUAUAAUAGCUGUGACUCUGUCUUUACGUUUACUAAGCGUGGGUGGAUCCACUACAGGUCCAUCUCUGACUAUACGUGUACUCUCUAAACCACCUCUCUUAGGCUAAUUACCUCCGCCUGUAUGUCCGACCACUACGUCACUUCUUCCUUGAAGUGGUUCACGUAUACCUCCGUUUCGCUGAAUAAUGACUUUCCGUCUACGAAUGAUUACUGAAUCUCCGAUGCUGAUUUCUUGAUGUCUUCAUGAGACCACUGUUAUCAUUGGAAUGACUUAACCAACGCCUCGAUCUACCAGAUGCCUUUCUCGUAGUGUCAGAUUCUAGACGGAAACUCAUACUUUUUUUGUGUUUGUAGUUCGUUCAACUCGUCUACGCCUGGUACCUUUACUUGAACUAUUGGUACUGAUUUCUCCGCCUGUUCAAUGCUCGACUAAACCGUUUACGACGUUUGGCUCGUGUACGUCGUGUCCAAUGUGGAGGUGUCGGACCCUGUCCUGUUCGACGUCGCCGAAGUCGUCGGUGUUUAGGUAUACGUUCACGUAUAUGGUCAGUGGGGAGGCGUAUAGUCGUUCCUUGAAGGGUUCGGCGCCGUAUGGUCGUCCCUUGACGGGUUCGGCGUCGUAUGGUCGUUCCUUUGGGGGUUAGGCGCCGUAUGGUCGUUCCUCGGGGGGUUAGGCGCCGUAUGGUCGUUCCUCGGGGUGUUAGGCGUCGUAUGGUCGUUCCUCGGNGGGUUCGGCGUCGUAUGGUCGUUCCUUGGGGGGUUCGGCGCCGUAUGGUCGUUCCUCGGGGGGUUCGGCCUCGUAUAGUCGUUCCUCGGGGGGUUCGACCUCGCAUAGUCGUUCCUCGGGGGGUUCGACCUCGCAUAGUUGUUCCCUGUAUACCAAUGGGUUGUCGGAUACUAAGACGGUGGCGAAUAGUCGACGUACGAUUACGUAUACGAUCGAUAAGACCGAUAGGUCAACGUCCGAUACGUGUUGGGUCGAUAGGACCGUGCAUGCGACGUGGAGUCGUCGUGGGUCAUCGGUCACCGCACCGAUGACUAUGGUGUUCGCGCAUGCCACGGCGACCGUCGUGCCCUAUAGGACGGCGUGGUCAAGUCCGUUCGUCGCCCUGAUUACGCCCCGUUCGCCGCGGUGGUCGAGGAAUAGGACGUUGUAUACUGGGUUGGUUUCGUCGGGUCUCCACUUUAGGCCCCAACAUUGGACUUCUACCGGACACACGGACGUUUAAAAUAGUCUUUAAAGAGUCCGGAGAAUAAAGGAAGUACAUGUAAGUAAGUGAGGGACAUCGAAAUACGUGUGGUACCUCGACGACUCUCAGCGUCAAAUACCAGACUCAGAACUUAACUAAACAUAGAGAACAAAACGACCUACCAACUUAACUAUCCACGUCGACAACCAAUUAUAGUCCC